rfam:Ixodes scapularis strain Wikel colony gcontig_1108379814358, whole genome shotgun sequence.
GCAGUCGUGGCCGAGUGGUUAAGGCGAUGCACUAGAAAGCCAAUGGGUUUGAAUCCUGUCGACUGCG